CACGUAGGGGGCAAGCGUUGUUCGGAAUCAUUGGGCGUAAAGGGCGUGCAGGCGGUAUUGCAAGUCUGGCGUGAAAGAUCUCGGCUUAACCGAGGGAACGCGCUGGAAACUGUAAUACUAGAGUACAGGAGGGGACAUUGGAAUUCCAGGUGUAGGGGUGAAAUCUGUAGAUAUCUGGAAGAACACCGGUGGCGAAGGCGAAUGUCUGGCCAUGUACUGACGCUGAGACGCGAAGGUGCGGGGAGCGAACAGG
rnacentral:rRNA from 1 species